rnacentral:rRNA from 1 species
CCUACGGGAGGCAGCAGUCGAGAAUCAUUCACAAUGGGGGAAACCCUGAUGGUGCGACGCCGCGUGGGGGAAUGAAGGUCUUCGGAUUGUAAACCCCUGUCAUGUGGGAGCAAAUUAAAAAGAUAGUACCACAAGAGGAAGAGACGGCUAACUCUGUGCCAGCAGCCGCGGUAAUACAGAGGUCUCAAGCGUUGUUCGGAAUCACUGGGCGUAAGGCGUGCGUAGGCUGUUUCGUAAGUCGUGUGUGAAAGGCGCGGGCUCAACCCGCGGAUGGCACAUGAUACUGCGAGACUAGAGUAAUGGAGGGGGAACCGGAAUUCUCGGUGUAGCAGGGAAAUGCGUAGAUAUCGAGAGGAACACUCGUGGCGAAGGCGGGUUCCUGGACAUUAACUGACGCUGAGGCACGAAGGCCAGGGGAGCGAAAGGGAUUAGAUACCCCUGUAGUC